GUUGAACGCUGGCGGCGGGCCUAACACAUGCCAGUCGAACGGAAACAGGAGGAGGCUUGCUUCUUUGCGGUCGCGGGGCGGGGGGGUGUGACAUGUGUAUAACACUCCUUUAUGACGGGGGAUACCUAGUGGAAACGGUGGCUAAUACCGCAUAACGUCUCAAGAGCAAAGAGGGAGAGCUUCAGGCCGCUUUCCAGCGGAUGUGCGCUGGUGGCGUACGGGAUUAGCUAGUGGGUCGGGUAACGGCUGACCAAGGCAACGAUCCCUAGCCGAUCUGAGAGGAUGACCAGCCACACUGGAACUGAGACACGGUCCAGACUCCUACGGGAGGCAGCAGUGGGGAAUAUUGCACAAUGGGCGCAAGCCUGAUGGAGCCACGCCGCGUGUAUGAAGAAGGUCUUCGGGUUGUAAAGCACUGUCAGCGGGGAGGAAGGGAGGAAAAUUAAUCCCUGCGCGUAUUGACGGUACCCGAAGAAGAAGCCACGGCUAACUCCGUG
rnacentral:rRNA from 1 species